CCGCCGCGGGAAUACGUAGGUGGCAAGCGUUGUCCGGAAUUAUUGGGCGUAAAGGGCUCGCAGGCGGUUUCUUAAGUCUGAUGUGAAAGCCCCCGGCUCAACCGGGGAGGGUCAUUGGAAACUGGGAAACUUGAGUGCAGAAGAGGAGAGUGGAAUUCCACGUGUAGCGGUGAAAUGCGUAGAGAUGUGGAGGAACACCAGUGGCGAAGGCGACUCUCUGGUCUGUAACUGACGCUGAGGAGCGAAAGCGUGGGGAGCGAACAGGAUUAGAUACCCCCGUAGUCCCUGUCUCUUAUACACA
rnacentral:rRNA from 1 species